UACAGAGGGGGCAAGCGUUGUUCGGAAUUACUGGGCGUAAAGGGCGCGUAGGCGGCCUGCUAAGUCGAACGUGAAAUCCCUGGGCUCAACCCAGGAACUGCGUCCGAUACUGGUUGGCUUGAAUCCGGGAGAGGGAUGUGGAAUUCCAGGUGUAGCGGUGAAAUGCGUAGAUAUCAAGUGGAACACCAGUGGCGAAGGCGAAUCCCUGGAAAAUACCUGACACUGAGGCACGAAAGCUAGGGGAGCAAACAGG
rnacentral:rRNA from 1 species